UACGUAGGCAGCAAGCGUUGUUCGGAGUUACUGGGCGUAAAGGGUGUGUAGGCGGCCUGUUAAGUUCCGUGUGAAAUCUCACGGCUCAACCGGGAGGGUGCGCGGAAAACUGGCGGGCUAGAGUGCGGGAUGGGAGAGUAGAAUUCCUGGUGUAGCGGUGAAAUGCGUAGAUAUCAGGAGGAAUACCGGUGGUGUAGACGGCUCUCUGGACCGCAACUGACGCUGAAACACGAAAGCGUGGGUAGCAAACAGG
rnacentral:rRNA from 1 species